CAGAGUUUGGGAGAUUUUAAAUUUUAUUCGUCCGGAGUAGUCCGGACUGUAUUUGGUGGGUGCUCCGGAUAACAUGUCACUGCAGUUCCCUUCUGGGAGAGCUUCUUACACAACCUGUUCAGUUAAAUGAGAGGGUGCAAUGGCAUUAUAGGGUGAUGAAUAAUAAGACAGUUCGUGAAUAUUUAGUUCACAUUAAAAUUUUACUGAUAUUUAGAUUUUUGACAUGUGAGAGACUGGUGGGAGGGUGGUGGUGAUAUUUAUUGUGCCUGUACAGGAUUGUAGUUUAUUAGUUUCUUUUGCUGUUGGUCCAUCCCGCGUUCAAAAUCAAAUCAUUAUGAUCAGCUGGUGUUCCCGAGACAAGACCACUGCAUGUAUGUUACAAUCAACAUACACACAGACAGUAUUACAGUGUUUUUAAUUUCAGACUUCAUAUGACUGUGGCGGAUGAAUAUCUGAUGUUCUUGAAAACGGUCCAAACAAGGAGAGAAACAGUUGAAUUGUAGUAAAUAUAUAAAUGGUAUUCUUUAUAUUGAAUACAUUAUGACUGCGAUAGGCAAUGCUCCGGGUUUGCCACGACAACAGGUCGGAGCGUGCUACGGCGUAGCGCCGCCGGUGGCCGCUACGCGCUACGAACACCCAAAUCUUAUGCUCAGAUGGCGAGGCGGCUGCGGCUGGUCUGCACGGAGCACAGCGCUGGGAGCUGG
rnacentral:lncRNA from 1 species